rnacentral:rRNA from 1 species
AAGUGGAAAAGGAUGUGGCGUUGCCCAGACAACUAGGAUGUUGGCUUAGAAGCAGCCAUCAUUUAAAGAGUGCGUAAUAGCUCACUAGUCGAGUGACACUGCGCCGAAAAUGUACCGGGGCUAAACAUAUUACCGAAGCUGUGGAUUGUCCUUUGGACAAUGGUAGGAGAGCGUUCUAAGGGCGUUGAAGCAUGAUCGUAAGGACAUGUGGAGCGCUUAGAAGUGAGAAUGCCGGUGUGAGUAGCGAAAGACGGGUGAGAAUCCCGUCCACCGAUUGACUAAGGUUUCCAGAGGAAGGCUCGUCCGCUCUGGGUUAGUCGGGUCCUAAGCUGAGGCCGACAGGCGUAGGCGAUGGAUAACAGGUUGAUAUUCCUGUACCACCUAUAAUCGUUUUAAUCGAUGGGGGGACGCAGUAGGAUAGGCGAAGCGUGCGAUUGGAUUGCACGUCUAAGCAGUAAGGCUGAGUAUUAGGCAAAUCCGGUACUCGUUAAGGCUGAGC